rnacentral:rRNA from 1 species
UACAGAGGGGCAAGCGUUGUUCGGAAUUACUGGGCGUAAAGGCGCGUAGGCGGCCUGCUAAGUCGAACGUGAAAUCCCUGGCUCAACCCAGGAACUGCGUCCGAUACUGGUUGGCUUGAAUCCGGAGAGGGAUGUGGAAUUCCAGGUGUAGCGGUGAAAUGCGUAGAUAUCGGAGGAACACCAAUGGCGAAGGCGAGCUCGCUGGACGUUACUGACGCUGAGACGCGAAAGCGUGGGUAGCGAACAGG